rnacentral:rRNA from 1 species
CGCUAGCUACAGGCUUAACACAUGCAAGUCGAGGGGCAGCAUGGUCUUAGCUUGCUAAGGCCGAUGGCGACCGGCGCACGGGUGAGUAACACGUAUCCAACCUGCCGUCUACUCUUGGACAGCCUUCUGAAAGGAAGAUUAAUACAAGAUGGCAUCAUGAGUCCGCAUGUUCACAUGAUUAAAGGUAUUCCGGUAGACGAUGGGGAUGCGUUCCAUUAGAUAGUAGGCGGGGUAACGGCCCACCUAGUCUUCGAUGGAUAGGGGUUCUGAGAGGAAGGUCCCCCACAUUGGAACUGAGACACGGUCCAAACUCCUACGGGAGGCAGCAGUGAGGAAUAUUGGUCAAUGGGCGAGAGCCUGAACCAGCCAAGUAGCGUGAAGGAUGACUGCCCUAUGGGUUGUAAACUUCUUUUAUAAAGGAAUAAAGUCGGGUAUGCAUACCCGUUUGCAUGUACUUUAUGAAUAAGGAUCGGCUAACUCCGUGCCAGCAGCCGCGGUAAUACGGAGGAUCCGAGCGUUAUCCGGAUUUAUUGGGUUUAAAGGGAGCGUAGAUGGAUGUUUAAGUCAGUUGUGAAAGUUUGCGGCUCAACCGUAAAAUUGCAGUUGAUACUGGAUAUCUUGAGUGCAGUUGAGGCAGGCGGAAUUCGUGGUGUAGCGGUGAAAUGCUUAGAUAUCACGAAGAACUCCGAUUGCGAAGGCAGCCUGCUAAGCUGCAACUGACAUUGAGGCUCGAAAGUGUGGGUAUCAAACAGGAUUAGAUACCCUGGUAGUCCACACGGUAAACGAUGAAUACUCGCUGUUUGCGAUAUACAGCAAGCGGCCAAGCGAAAGCGUUAAGUAUUCCACCUGGGGAGUACGCCGGCAACGGUGAAACUCAAAGGAAUUGACGGGGGCCCGCACAAGCGGAGGAACAUGUGGUUUAAUUCGAUGAUACGCGAGGAACCUUACCCGGGCUUAAAUUGCAGAUGAAUUACGGUGAAAGCCGUAAGCCGCAAGGCAUCUGUGAAGGUGCUGCAUGGUUGUCGUCAGCUCGUGCCGUGAGGUGUCGGCUUAAGUGCCAUAACGAGCGCAACCCUUGUUGUCAGUUACUAACAGGUUCCGCUGAGGACUCUGACAAGACUGCCAUCGUAAGAUGUGAGGAAGGUGGGGAUGACGUCAAAUCAGCACGGCCCUUACGUCCGGGGCUACACACGUGUUACAAUGGGGGGUACAGAGGGCCGCUACCACGCGAGUGGAUGCCAAUCCCAAAAACCUCUCUCAGUUCGGACUGGAGUCUGCAACCCGACUCCACGAAGCUGGAUUCGCUAGUAAUCGCGCAUCAGCCACGGCGCGGUGAAUACGUUCCCGGGCCUUGUACACACCGCCCGUCAAGCCAUGGGAGCCGGGGGUACCUGAAGUGCGUAACCGCGAGGAGCGCCCUAGGGUAAAACUGGUGACUGGGGC